UACGGAGAGUGCGAACGUUGUUCGGAUUCACUGGGCGUAAAGGGCACGUAGGCGGCUUGGCAAAUCGGUCGUGGAAUCCCGACGCUUACCGUCGGAACGGCGGCCGAAAAUACCGAGCUCGAGGGCGUGAGGGGUCACUGGAACUCCUGGUGAAGCGGUGAAAUGCGUAGAUAUCAGGAGGAACGCCGGAGGCGAAAGCGAGUGGCUGGCGCGUUCCUGACGUUGAGGUGCGAAAGCUAGGGGAGCAAACAGG
rnacentral:rRNA from 1 species